GAUGAACGCUAGCUACAGGCCUAACACAUGCAAGUCGAGGGGCAGCAUUGCUGAAGCUUGCUUCAGCAGAUGGCGACCGGCGCACGGGUGAGUAACGCGUAUCCAACCUGCCCUUUACUUGGGGAUAGCCUUUCGAAAGAAAGAUUAAUACCCGAUGGUUUCAGUAUUCCGCAUGGGAAACUGAAUAAAGAUUUAUUGGUAGAGGAUGGGGAUGCGUUCCAUUUGAUAGUAGGCGGAGUAACGGCCCACCUAGUCGACGAUGGAUAGGGGUUCGGAGAGGAAGGUCCCCCACAUUGGAACUGAGACACGGUCCAAACUCCUACGGGAGGCAGCAGUGAGGAAUAUUGGUCAAUGGACGAGAGUCUGAACCAGCCAAGUAGCGUGAAGGAUGACUGCCCUAUGGGUUGUAAACUUCUUUUAUAAGGGAAUAAAGUGUGCCACGUGUGGUGUUUUGUAUGUACCUUAUGAAUAAGCAUCGGCUAAUUCCGUGCCAGCCGCCGCUGUAAGAC
rnacentral:rRNA from 1 species